UACGGAGGGAGCUAGCGUUGUUCGGAAUUACUGGGCGUAAAGCGCGCGUAGGCGGCUUUGUAAGUUAGAGGUGAAAGCCCGGGGCUCAACCCCGGAACUGCCUUUAAAACUGCAUCGCUUGAAUCCGGGAGAGGUGAGUGGAAUUCCGAGUGUAGAGGUGAAAUGCGUAGAGAUCCGGAGGAACACCAGUGGCGAAGGCGACACGCUGGGCCGUACCUGACACUGAGGCGCGAUAGCAUGGGGAGCAAACAGG
rnacentral:rRNA from 1 species